AGCCGGGCCCCAGAUGGCCGGUAACGGUGAACUCCGCCAGGCCCGGAAGGGAGCAACGGUAGCCGUGAUUCCGGGGUGUCUGGUCCGUCCGGCUGUC
rnacentral:SRP_RNA from 1 species